GGCAUUUUUAUAUAGUUUUAUUCUAUAAAAUAUGCACAAGAGGUGUUGAUUCAAUGAUUCAUUGAUGCCUCAUGAAUCCAUAAUAUGCAAUGUAAACUUCCUUAAUGAAUCAUAUUUGUUAGGGAAGUUGCUGCGAGAAGUUGAACCCAAAUGAAUGGAUGCUUGAAUUGAGGCUACAAAAGAUGGUGACCACAGUACAGUAGGCUGCGAGCUUUAUCUGUAUCUGAGGUGUGGUUUGGCAAAGAUGAUGAUGAAGGAGAAGAACAUUUCGAGCAAGAACAAGAGGAGGAGGAGUGUCGUGAGUAUUCAAGCAUAGCAAGCAGGUGGUUUGACGGUUUAAUCAGUAAGGACAUUCAAAUGGCCAAUGAAGUUUUCUCCAUUCACACCAUUGAUUUUGACCGGCAAGAGUUGCAAAAGCUUGUGUGGAGAGUACAGUCGACUCAAGAACAGCCAACCAAAAACGAGAGAGAAGCUAGCAUAGCGCUCCUAUGGGCGCAGAAGUCCUCUACUUGUUUCCUCUGAAACCUUACGAGGCAAUUAUGUUGUAGCAAUGCAUGAUUACGCAGCUGAUACUCACCUCUUGUACUAAUCUAUUUUGCAACAUUUACAUUUUCUUUUUCCAGGGUCCGGUUGAAUCGUUCUACGGUUCAGGAUUAUGUAUGAACCGAGUACCAGGUGGAUGAUGGGGUGCUAAUUUUAAUUCAGUGCCGGGUUCAGUCCUGCGCAAUGGCUCAAAAGAGAAUAGUUAUGCCGCUAAACGUUAUUUACUUGCCUUUACCUUUCCAUUGCCUGCUAAUUUCAUCAAUUCCAAAGAGUUAUAAGAGGAGCAAAAUAAUGCAAAUUGUCUGAUAGAAAAAAAAGAAAGAAAGGGAGGUUAAGCUCUGUUCUUGUAAAUAUUUAUUUUGACGCUCGGUUUGUGCUUUUGCAUUCGAAUCUACCUGGAUAAUAUUCAUGCUGGUGCCAGCCAGUACAGAUGUAGUUGAAUCCUAUACAAGUACAUAUGCACUGAAGUAAACCCUUUUUCGCC